rnacentral:lncRNA from 1 species
GCCGAAACUGAGUCACAUCCGAAUUUUUUUUUUGUACCCGGAAUCGAACUCAGGAACUUGUGCUUGUCAGGCAGGUGACAGAACCACUGAGAUAAAUCCCCAGCCCACAUAUGCAUUUUUGAAUAAAUCAUGGUACCAUUUAUUUGACUCUCUUUAGAAUGAUAAAUCUUGGCCUUGGAGGUAAGGUCAUUUCUUCAAACUGAUAUUUGUUAAUUGCUGGGUAGCAUAAUGGCCCGGGCCACGCCCAUGGCACGGUGAGGUCUCAGAGGUGUCUUGCAGCCCCACCCCCACCUGACGCUCUCAAAGCUGCAGCGACCGGCUCCGUUGAGACAAGACAAGCAGCUUGGGGUUCCUGCGGCCGUCCCGGGCCAUGCCCACGGCACGGUCCCACUCCAGGAUGAAAAGGAGUCAAGCCUGACUCUGGAUACUCAAGCUUGCUUAGAGCUUUUGAAGAUGGAUGUAAGGGAAUCCAUGGUCAACCAUCUUGUGCGAUCCUUGCUUCAAGGGAACUGUUUGUUCCUGCACAAGUUUUUGCAAAACUACCAAGAUUUGGGACCAUGCAGCAGGAGCUGGAUCUGCUGUUGAAAAGCCCAGGCAGCAGCACCAGUGCCAGGUCCAACUGGAGAGCGAGAGGCAGCUCCAGCAGCAGCCUCUAAGCCAGCAGUAGAUCCACCACCCAUUCUGGGGCAAGAGUUGGCUGCAGUGCCAGCUCCAUGGCCAGGUGCACCUAGAAAGCUACCUUGGGUUAUUCCAAAGAAGAAGCAGACUGGAACUGAGACUCUGGAGCUGGAGCCAGCCACAGCAGGCCCACUUCUACCAGUGGUGCCAUCCUGGCCUUCACCUAUGACCAUGAAAACCAGGGAUUCCACCUGGUUGCAGCAGGGCAAAAAGGCCAAGGAGCAGCUGCCGGCCUCCAUCUGCACCACUGUCAUUCAUCUCCCAAGUGUGUCAUCAGCACCGUCCUCAGGCACUACAUCAUGAAAGCCUCAGGCCAUGCCCAGGUGGUGGAGCACAGGGUCUCCAGGGACCCUCAGGAGUGCCAAAUUCUGAGGAACCGUGCCUCUCUCUCUGGGCUGUGAAUCAGCGUUAUCCAGUGCCUGAUGGAAACCUGGCAAGACUUCUCCAGGUGGCUGCACCUCUCCAUUGGAGCUCCAGGUGAACCAGCACCAUAAACUGGACAAAAUAUGUGCAGAACUUGUCUGUGAAGGUAGAAAUGUCUAGAAUGUAUUUUAUAAAGUUCCCC